GACCACGACGGUCGCGACUAGAAAAGUUUGAAUAAAACAUUUGUUUGUUUUUAGUUCUACGGGACAAUUUCCUCGCAGUAAACGCCUUUUAUUGGCCCUGAAUGUAAUCGGAUUGAUGGGUUGCCUUAUUUUAACUAUUCUUUUAGUCCUAUGGGCUUUGGGAAUACUAUGGCCAGAGCCAAAUACAGCGGAGUUUAUGGUCCAAAUAUUAAAAGGAGCAAAAGCAAAGAGAGUUGGUCGAUAUAGAGAUGAAGUUUUUUGUGAAAAAUGUGGAAAUUUAUAUGAACUGUUAUUGGAUUUAUUCUAAAAAUUUAAUAACGUAACAGAUAAAGAUGAUAACACAAUGGAAUGGAAACGUACGUCAGUGGAGCUGGACUUCGCGUCCAAACCAGCUGUUUGCACAAUAACAUUUGUUAUCAUAUCCUCAGCUGGUAGACCUAACCUAACACUGCAUUGUCAUAAACAGUGAACUUAUAAAUAGCUCCAAUUAUGAUAGGGGCCACUAGUUCAUCUCAAACUGAUUUCAAACCAUCAAGCAACCACGUGUUCAACUGUGCGGCGCCCGGGCCUGGCUACAACAUCGCAGGGGACAUUUUCAACCUGUCGCUGUUACUCAUGGCCGUGGGUGUGGCCAUCGUUGUCUUGUUUACACUGUUUGUCAAAAUCUACUAACAACACAUAUGAACAGGGUGGGCCCGAAUAUUAACCAUAGACUCCAAUUUUUACUCGGAAUAAAAAUGGUAUAAAAACGUUUUAUUUAUUAAGGAUUGGUUUGCAACAUUCACGUUAGAAUGAAUGAAUAAAAGUCACCGUACCCAUCGUAUUUUAAAAAUACUAUAAGCAUUUCGACAUUUUUAAGUUGCAAGUAACGCUGAGGAAUAUGUGGUUA